AUCCUGCUCAGUACGAGAGGAACCGCAGGUUCAGACAUUUGGUGUAUGUGCUUGGCUGAGGAGCCACUGGAGCGAGGCUACCAUCUG
rnacentral:ncRNA from 1 species